rnacentral:tRNA from 1 species
GCCCUCGUAGCUCAACGGAUGAGCACCCCUUUCCUAAUUGGGAGGAUGCAGGUUCGAAUCCUGCCGAGGGCA